rnacentral:rRNA from 1 species
UACGUAGGGUGCAAGCGUUGUCCGGAAUUAUUGGGCGUAAAGAGCUCGUAGGCGGUCUGUUGCGUCGGCUGUGAAAACCCGAGGCUUAACCUCGGGCCUGCAGUCGAUACGGGCAGACUAGAGUUCGGUAGGGGAGACUGGAAUUCCUGGUGUAGCGGUGAAAUGCGCAGAUAUCAGGAGGAACACCGGUGGCGAAGGCGGGUCUCUGGGCCGAUAUUGACGCUGAGGAGCGAAAGCGUGGGGAGCGAACAGG